rnacentral:rRNA from 1 species
GUCAGGAUGAACGCUGGCGGCGUGCUUAACACAUGCAAGUCGAACGAGGGUUACCGGUUGAAAUUUCGAAUGGAAACGGGUAAUACCUAGUGGCGGACGGGUGAGUAACGCGUGGGGAACCUGCCCCAUUCCGGGGGAUACCAGUUGGAAACGACUGUUAAUACCGCAUAAGCGCACAGUACUGCAUGGUACGGUGUGAAAAAACCACGGUGGAAUGGGAUGGCCCCGCGUCUGAUUAGCCAGUUGGCAGGGUAACGGCCUACCAAAGCGACGAUCAGUAGCCGGCCUGAGAGGGCGACCGGCCACAUUGGGACUGAGACACGGCCCAAACUCCUACGGGAGGCAGCAGUGGGGAAUAUUGCACAAUGGGGGGAACCCUGAUGCAGCCGACGCCGCGUGAGUGAAGAAGUAUUUCGGUAUGUAAAGCUCUAUCAGCAGGGAAGAAGAUGACGGUACCUGCACAAGAAGCCCCGGCUAACUACGUGCCAGCCGCGGC